rnacentral:rRNA from 1 species
GGUGAUAAUGGCAUGGAGGUCCCACCUGUUCCCAUUCCGAACACAGAAGUUAAGCUCCAUAGCGCUAAAAGUACUUGGAUGGAAGCGUCCCGGGAGGAUAGGUCGUCGCCG